ACUUAUAUUCUGUAGCAAGGUUAACCGAAUAGGGGAGCCGAAGGGAAACCGAGUCUUAACUGGGCGUUAAGUUGCAGGGUAUAGACCCGAAACCCGGUGAUCUAGCCAUGGGCAGGUUGAAGGUUGGGUAACACUAACUGGAGGACCGAACCGACUAAUGUUGAAAAAUUAGCGGAUGACUUGUGGCUGGGGGUGAAAGGCCAAUCAAACCGGGAGAUAGCUGGUUCUCCCCGAAAGCUAUUUAGGUAGCGCCUCGUGAAUUCAUCUCCGGGGGUAGAGCACUGUUUCGGCAAGGGGGUCAUCCCGACUUACCAACCCGAUGCAAACUGCGAAUACCGGAGAAUGUUAUCACGGGAGACACACGGCGGGUGCUAACGUCCGUCGUGAAGAGGGAAACAACCCAGACCGCCAGCUAAGGUCCCAAAGUCAUGGUUAAGUGGGAAACGAUGUGGGAAGGCCCAGACAGCCAGGAUGUUGGCUUAGAAGCAGCCAUCAUUUAAAGAAAGCGUAAUAGCUCACUGGUCGAGUCGGCCUGCGCGGAAGAUGUAACGGGGCUAAACCAUGCACCGAAGCUGCGGCAGCGACGCUGAUGCGUUGUUGGGUAGGGGAGCGUUCUGUAAGCCUGUGAAGGUGUGCUGUGAGGCAUGCUGGAGGUAUCAGAAGUGCGAAUGCUGACAUAAGUAACGAUAAAGCGGGUGAAAAGCCCGCUCGCCGGAAGACCAAGGGUUCCUGUCCAACGUUAAUCGGGGCAGGGUGAGUCGACCCCUAAGGCGAGGCCGAAAGGCGUAGUCGAUGGGAAACAGGUUAAUAUUCCUGUACUUGGUGUUACUGCGAAGGGGGGACGGAGAAGGCUAUGUUGGCCGGGCGACGGUUGUCCCGGUUUAAGCGUGUAGGCUGGUUUUCCAGGCAAAUCCGGAAAACUAAGGCUGAGGCGUGAUGACGAGGCACUAC
rnacentral:rRNA from 1 species